rnacentral:lncRNA from 10 species
CCUUAUAUGUCAUUGUGAUUUUAUUGAUAACUCAAAACGCCUGCCUUUCUCUCCAAACUCACCUCACACGUCUUUCCUCUUGUGCAUGAUGCUUCUGUCACUCUGGGCUUUCUUGUGUCUUAACCAAGCUAACAUUGUACCCUCCCUUGAUCCUCUGCACUGGCAGUGAACUGGGUGGUAGGAGACCUGGACUCCAGCCCAAUCCUCCCAAUAUGUGUGAUCUUGAUCACGGCACUCAGCUGAGCGGCGCUUUAAUUUUACUGUUUAAACUAAAAUUUGCACUUUAUCUUGAAGGUUUCUCUGGCUAUAAAAUUAUCUUAAAUCCUACCGUGAUGUAUUCUCGGUGAAAAAAUCUUGACUUUUGAAGACCUAAGGCAAAAGUCAUUCUAACAACAAACUGAUCAGUAAAUAAGCAGGAACUGCUUUGUCAAGGACAGAUAAGUAGCUUCAAAAUAGAAGCAAAGGUUAGCAAUAAGUCUUCGAUGGUGCAAAACUUGAAUUCCAAACACAGGGUUUUCAGUUUGUACUUUCUCAGUUAACAUACAAGCCAGUCCUGAUAUUCCUAACAGUCUACUAACCACAAACACGGGGCAAGGCAAUCGACUACCUCAAUGGAUCCCCACACAAUUCCCUGAAAAUUCAUUUUGCAAUAAGAAAACCAUGAUCUCAUUUAAAAUGCAAUUCAGUGAUAUCAUCUCACUAAGAACCCUCCCAAGGCUCUGCACUCAAUUUACAGUAAAAUAAAGUCCAAUCUCCUCACUUCAGCCUCAGUGGUCAAGCAUGAUCUGGCUCUUCCUCUCUGUCCUCCAAGACCACUUCUGGUCACUAGUCCCUUUGCUCACUAAGCUGCAGCCACACUGAGCUCCUGUUUCAAAAACACACCAAACCUUAGCGUCUUUGCCCAGUCUGAAAAGCUCCACACCUGACUCCACGCUUGGCUCCUUCUUUCUCUUCCUUCAGGGUGCAGUUUAAAUACCAGCUUUUCCUGUCUAGUCAGACACUAUGGCAAUACAUUAUUCGUCUCUUAGCAUCUCACACAACCUGUAUUUUCAUUUACUUGUGUCUUUUCCAUGACCCUCACUGAGGUUUGAAUCCUGUGUGAUGUUUUACGUUGAACAAGUUAUUUAGAUUCUCUGAACAUUAUCUCAAUGUUUAUCUCACCGAGCUCUUUUGAGAAUUAAACUAGAAGGUAAAAGCACCUAGAAUAGAAUUUGGCGCAUUAUUAAGGUCUGUUCAUCAAAUAUGGAGGAUAAAUUCAUCACCAAACUGUGACAUGUUAGGAGUAGGAGUUUCCUAAAGUUUAGUGCUAGCAGUUUAUUAACAAUCUAGGGGAAGAAGUGCAUAGUGAAUAAUUAGCAUGUAGUAACGCUAAAAUUUUCUGCAGCGUGAAAUGCCAAGUUGUUAGGAAUAAACUGCUGGAAAGCCUUUUAAGCGUGAAUAAGCAGAAAAAUGCAAAUAAAUUACAAUGUGGGUGAAUUAGUAGAAUGAGAAAAAAACUAAACCAGUAAAUUUUUAAACUUUUGCCCUACGUCUCCCAGAGCUCCUUUCCUGUCAACCCCACCCACACCUGCAACCCACAACGCCCUGUCCAGAUUCUAACAGGGCUUGGCAUGCAUUGGUCCUAUGCCAACGCCCUAUGGAGUCUGAUGAUUUCCCCAGCCUCUACCUCAGAACACAUCUCUAAACAGCUAUACUGAGCUAAACUAUGCUAGAAAUUAUCAAAGAACGAUGGAAAAUGGCCCAGAAAUUACUGGCAACCUUUUCCUGAAGAAUAGCACAAUGUGACUGGGUGCGGUGGCUCACAUCUGUAAUCCCAGCACUUUGGGAAGCUAAGGCAGCUGGAUCGCUUGAGCCCAGGAGUUUGAGACCAGCCUUGGCAACAUGGUAAAACUCUGUCUCUACUAAAACAAACAAACAAAAAAAACCCCACAAUUAGCUGGGUGUGGUGGCGCACACCUGUGAUGCCAGCUAGUCAGGAGGCUGAGGUGGGAGGAUCCCUUGAGCCCAGGAGGCGGAGGCUGCAGUGAGCUGAGAUAGUGCCACUGCACUCCAGCCUGGGCAACAAAGCCAGACUAUGUCUCAAAAAAAAAAAAAAAAAAAAAAAGAAUAACACAAUAUCAAACACAAAAAUGAACAAUACUAAGUUAAAGCAUAUAAACCAAGAUAUGGGAAGUCUCUUAAGGGUAGGUUAUGACCCAAAAGAUUUGCUUUCUGUGCUUUGGCCUCUAGAUCAGCCAUCAAAAGCUUCUGCAUAACACUAUUAACAAUAUAACAAAAACUAGUGACUGUGUGUUAAGGGAAGCCUACUGAGUGCAACAUCCAAACAUAUCUCCCUUCCAGCACAGUAGACUCGAGGCUGCCCUGAUUUUCCUCCCUUACCUGCUGGGCUAUGAGAUCAGGUGUUCAUCGCAUUCCAAGUCUUCGUGAUAAUACCUGUAUUUGCUACAGCUGUCAUAACAAAGUAUCACAGACUAUGGGCCUUAAAUAGAAAUCUAUGUUCUCACAUUUCUGGACUCUAGAAGAUGGAGAUAAAAAAUUUUUUUUAAAUUAUAAAUUAGCAGGGCAUCGUGGCAUGCACCUGUGGUCCCAGCUACUCAGCAGGCUGAGUCAGAAAGAUUGAUUAAAUCUGGGUAGCUGGGACCACAGAUGCGUGCCACCAUGCCCUCCUAAUUUAUAAUUUUAUUUUUUUUUGUAGCGAUAGCAUCUCCCUUUGUUGUCCAGGCUGUUCUUGAACUCCUGGGCUCAAAUGAUUCUCCCACCUCAGCCUCCCAAAGUGCUGGGAUGACAGGCAUGAGCCACCGCACCCGGCCUUGUGCUCAAUUCUUUGAAUGUUGAUCUCAUUUAAACCUUACAACAAUCUGUGAGGUUGGUAUUAUUAUCAUUUCAAAUGCUGAGAAGACAGUCUCACAGAGGUAUAACUUCUAACGUCAUCCAAGUCAUGAUGGGAUCUACAUAUAGGCCUGUUUGGCCCCAAAACUCAUACAAGGAUUCUGUGUGGCCUGCCAGGAUCUGUGACAUCGGAUGCCUCGCAGCCACUGGGCUGCUUUGUCCUGGGCAGCCGUUCUCUUCCUUGCUUUCUCUCAGUUCUUGGUCUGUGCUUGAUACUCUUGCCACUCCCUGUUACUUCUGAUCUGGGUCACUCUAGAAAGUAGGGUUUAAAAUGUCCUCUUCUGGUCACCCUUGCUCCACCAACCAACUUAAAACCUCUGCAAACAUAAUUUUACAAACUUUGGAUACAAAAAAUUCAAAUAUUUGGCCAUAUUUCAGGGCACUACCUGAAUAUGGACUUUCCUAACCAUCCCACUUCAAGAAUUUGGGGAGGAACCGGGCUCUGGGUUCCUAGAGCAACAGUAAAAUGGUGAUACUAGAAAGAGUAAGAGAUGGGAUAGGCUUCCUGACCUCCAUCCAAAGCAGAAGAAAGGAGGAACGAUAAUUACUCCAAUUUGUACUACACAGGCACACUCCUAAAACACAUUUCUCACAUGCAGACACUGACAUUAAGAGAGACAGAAUAUGGAUCUCUCCUGGUUGGUAGCUCUUAAUCCUUACGUUUAUAAAAGUCUCCAGGUUAUAAGUGUUACUCAGCAUUUCUUUAUUAUUAUAAUUUACUGCAUUAAGAAGACUUGAGAUCUACUCUCUGAAAUAACUGUAAGUGCAUAAUACCGUAUGGUUGAGUAUAGGCACGUGGAUGUAGAGCCGAUCUCUAGAACUCAUUCAUCUAACGUACCUGAAACUUUGUACCCACUAAACUGCAGCCCACUCCCCAUCUCCUUCUCCCUUCAGCCCCUGGCAACCACCAAACGGUCUCUCUUUCCUUUAGCUGACUAUUGUAGAUACCUCUGUUGUGCUUGAGCGAGUUAGAGAAAACGCCACACUUUGAGACGAAUUAAAAGUCCGUAUAUUUAGCCGGCGGCCAAGAGAGAGCUAACGCUCAGUUCUCUCGGCCCUGAAAAAGGGGCUAGAUUUUCUUUUAUACUUUGGUUUAGAAAGGGGAGGCAGGGUCUAGUUAAAACAAUUUUACAGAAGUAAAGUAGGCAAAAAAGUUAAAAGGAUAAAUGGAUACAGGAAAGUAAACAGUUCCAGGUGCAGGGGCUUUAAGACUAUUAACAAGGUGAUAGACGCGGGGCUUUGGGCUUUAUCAAUCGGACGAAUUCCUGGGAACUGCGGAUAUAGUUCGCCACAGUAGCUGAUCAGUUAAUUGCAUUCUUGGAUGUGCUGGGAGUCAGCUUGCACAAGUUAAGUCCUUGAGGAAGGGGCUGCCAGUGAAAGAACCAAGAUGGAGUCUGUCUGGCUCUCUUAGCCAAAGGAGAGUCAACUCAGGUGCAAACAAGGCUAGGUGAUUAAAGGAAAGGGAGAGUCUAAAAACAGGGUUAGUAAAAACAAGGUUGGGCAUUACACCUCAUACAAGCAGAAGAAGGCAGUAUCUGUCCUUCUGUGACUGGCUUUUUCUCAUGUAGCCCAAUGUCUUCCAGGUUCAUCCAUGUUGUCACACGUGGCGGAAUUCAACAUCAUUUCUGUAGCAAUUUGAUGACCAAAUCAUUGCUCUAAAUAGCUAAGCAGCUCUACUCGACAGAAACAGAUGGUGUAAAAUCUAACUUAUCUAAUUGAAGGCUGGGUAAACAUUCACGGAAUGUUUGUAUUUAAAUCAUUAGGAAUGUGUCGGUCUUUCAAUCUAUCAGUUCUGAAAAAGGAAUAAAGACGUCACCUCAUAAUGAUGGCCAUGAAAAACUCACUGCCACUUUCAUCUUGGCAAAGGGAAGGACCAUUUCUGAAUCACUGACUGCACUAAGCAAUGUAGAUAAAUAAGGAAAUCUGAUCUCAGGGCUGGCCCCCUGAUCUUAGUGUCCUCAUUUCAAAGCUUACUCAAUGGAAUCCUAUAAUCCCUGUCUCAAAUUAAAAUAGAAGAGGCUCCUAGUGCCAGCAAGUUGUGCAGAUUUGAGGGCAGCUGUAAGUUUACUUCUCCUGUUUAGAUAGAGUUGUAUGGGUGUUUCCUUUUCUACACAUGGCUACAACUCAACUCCAAGUUCCUACAACCACUGAAUUGUUUCAGCCCCACCCCCCUCCUUUCCAAUUCCAGAUUCCCUUCUUGAGGAAAGACCACAGAGGCCAUGACUGACUCAGUAGAACCAUGUAAGUCUAUGGUGGAUACUACACCCUCAACAACGAUCUGCCUGCUUUCCAC